UUUUGGACAAUGGGCGAAAGCCUGAUCCAGCAAUGCCGCGUGUGGGAAGAAGGCCUUCGGGUUGUAAACCACUUUUGUACGGAACGAAAAGGUCUGCCCUAAUACGGUGGGCCCAUGACGGUACCGUAAGAAUAAGCACCGGCUAACUACGUGCCAGCAGCCGCGGUAAUACGUAGGGUGCGAGCGUUAAUCGGAAUUACUGGGCGUAAAGCGUGCGCAGGUGGUUAUAUAAGACAGUUGUGAAAUCCCCGGGCUCAACCUGGGAAUUGCAUCUGUGACUGUAUAGCUAGAGUACGGUAGAGGGGGAUGGAAUUCCGCGUGUAGCAGUGAAAUGCGUAGAUAUGCGGAGGAACACCGAUGGCGGAGGCAAUCCCCUGGACCUGUACUGACGCUCAUGCACGAAA
rnacentral:rRNA from 1 species